UGCUGGGCCCAUAACCCAGAGGUCGAUGG
rnacentral:piRNA from 6 species